rnacentral:rRNA from 1 species
AUUGAACGCUGGCGGCAGGCCUAACACAUGCAAGUCGAACGAGUGGCGGACGGGUGAGUAAUGUAUGGGAAACUGCCUGAUGGAGGGGGAUAACUACUGGAAACGGUGGCUAAUACCGCAUACCAUCGGAUGUGCCCAGAUGGGAUUAGCUAGUAGGUGGGGUAAAGGCUCACCUAGGCGACGAUCCCUAGCUGGUCUGAGAGGAUGAACAGCCACACUGGGACUGAGACACGGCCCAGACUCCUACGGGAGGCAGCAGUGGGGAAUAUUGCACAAUGGGCGCAAGCCUGAUGCAGCCAUGCCGCGUGUGUGAAGAAGGCCUUCGGGUUGUAAAGCACUUUCAGCGGGGAGGCGUUACCCGCAGAAGAAGCACCGGCUAACUCCGUGCCAGCCGCCGCGGUAAUUC